rnacentral:rRNA from 1 species
CGGAGGAAAAGAAACCAACAGGGAUUGCCUCAGUAACGGCGAGCGAAGCGGCAAAAGCUCAAAUUUGAAAUCUGGCUCUUUCAGAGUCCGAGUUGUAAUUUGAAGAAGGCAUCUUUGGUAGUGGCUCUUGCAUAUGUUCCUUGGAAUAGGACGUCAUAGAGGGUGAGAACCCCGUAUAUGGUGAGAUGCUCCACUGCUAUGUAAAGGGCUUUCUAAGAGUCGAGUUGUUUGGGAAUGCAGCUCUAAGUGGGUGGUAAAUUCCAUCUAAGGCUAAAUAUAGGCGAGAGACCGAUAGCGAACAAGUACAGUGAUGGAAAGAUGAAAAGAACUUUGAAAAGAGAGUGAAAAAGUACGUGAAAUUGCUGAAAGGGAAGGGCUUGACAUCAGACUCGGUUUGUAAUGAUCAGCUGUCUCUUGGGACUGUGCACUCGUUACUUACUGGGCCAACAUCAGUUUUGGCGGUAGGAUAAUUGCAGUUGAAUGUGACUUUGCUUCGGUGAAGUGUUAUAGCUUCUGUAGAUACUACCAGCUGGGACUGAGGACCGCGCUUUAUGCUAGGAUGUUGGCGUAAUGAUGU